ACAGUCACAGUCAGAACUCUGCUCCACCCCUUUGUUUUCUUCGUUUUUUGUGUUCAGUUUAAUUCCUGCUCCAACUAAAGGUCCAUUAGUUUGGACAAACAAUGAGACCAACACAAAUGUCUCAUAGUAGUUGAAUUUCACAGCUGAUUUCUGUCCAUUGAACAGGUUUUCUGCAUAAAAACCCAAAUCCCUUCAGUUCUUCCAUCAGUAUGUGUGUCAUAGUUCUG